AUUGAACGCUGGAGGCAGGCUUAACACAUGCAAGUCGAGCGAGCGGCGGACGGGUGAGUAAUGUCUGGGAAACUGCCUGAUGGAGGGGGAUAACUACUGGAAACGGUAGCUAAUACAGCAUACCAUCAGAUGUGCCCAGAUGGAGUGAGCUAGUAGGUGGGGUACUGGCUCACCUAGGCGACGAUCCCUAGCUGGUAUGAGAGGAUGACCAGCAACACGGGAACGGAGACACGGUCCAGACUCCUACGGGAGGCAGCAGUGGGGAAUAUUGCACAAUGGGCGCAAGCCUGAUGCAGCCAUGCCGCGUGUGUGAAGAAGGCCUUCGGGUUGUAAAGCACUUUCAGCGAGGAGGCGUUACUCGCAGAAGAAGCACCGGCUAACUCCGUGCCAGCAGCCGCGGUAAUAC
rnacentral:rRNA from 1 species